rnacentral:rRNA from 1 species
AGUGAACGCUGGCGGUAGGCCUAACACAUGCAAGUCGAACGGCAGCACAGUAAGAGCUUGCUCUUACGGGUGGCGAGUGGCGGACGGGUGAGGAAUACAUCGGAAUCUACUUUUUCGUGGGGGAUAACGUAGGGAAACUUACGCUAAUACCGCAUACGACCUACGGGUGAAAGCAGGGGAUCUUCCGACCUUGCGCGAUUGAAUGAGCCGAUGUCGGAUUAGCUAGUUGGCGGGGUAAAGGCCCACCAAGGCGACGAUCCGUAGCUGGUCUGAGAGGAUGAUCAGCCACACUGGAACUGAGACACGGUCCAGACUCCUACGGGAGGCAGCAGUGGGGAAUAUUGGACAAUGGGCGCAAGCCUGAUCCAGCCAUACCGCGUGUGUGAAGAAGGCCUUCGGGUUGUAAAGCCCUUUUGUUGGGAAAGAAAAGCAGCAGGUUAAUACCCCGCUGUUCUGACGGUACCCAAAGAAUAAGCACCGGCUAACUUCGUG